UACGUAGGGGGCUAGCGUUGUCCGGAAUCAUUGGGCGUAAAGCGCGUGUAGGCGGUCUGUCGCGUCUGCUGUGAAAAUCCGGGGCUCAACCCCGGACUUGCAGUGGGUACGGGCAGACUAGAGUGUGGUAGGGGAGACUGGAAUUCCUGGUGUAGCGGUGAAAUGCGCAGAUAUCAGGAGGAACACCGGUGGCGAAGGCGGGUCUCUGGGCCGAUACUGACGCUGAGGAGCGAAAGCGUGGGGAGCGAACAGG
rnacentral:rRNA from 1 species